AACGAACGCUGGCGGCAUGCCUAACACAUGCAAGUCGAACGAGACCUUCGGGUCUAGUGGCGCACGGGUGCGUAACGCGUGGGAACCUGCCUUUAGGUUCGGAAUAACUCAGAGAAAUUUGAGCUAAUACCGGAUAAUGUCUUCGGACCAAAGAUUUAUCGCCUUUAGAUGGGCCCGCGUUGGAUUAGCUAGUUGGUGGGGUAAAGGCCUACCAAGGCGACGAUCCAUAGCUGGUCUGAGAGGAUGAUCAGCCACACUGGGACUGAGACACGGCCCAGACUCCUACGGGAGGCAGCAGUGGGGAAUAUUGGGACAAUGGGCGAAAGCCUGAUCCAGCAAUGCCGCGUGAGUGAUGAAGGCCUUAGGGUUGUAAAGCUCUUUUACCCGAGAUGAUAAUGACAGUAUCGGGAGAAUAAGCUCCGGCUAACUCCGUGCCAGCAGCCGCGGUAAUGUGACUACUG
rnacentral:rRNA from 1 species